rnacentral:rRNA from 1 species
ACACCUACGGGUGGCAGCAGUAGGGAAUAUUGCAUAAUGGGCGAAAGCCUGAUGCAGCAACGCCGCGUGUGCGAUGAAGGCCUUCGGGUUGUAAAGCACUUUUCGAGGGGAUGAGGAAGGACAGUACCCUCGGAAUAAGCCUCGGCUAACUACGUGCCAGCAGCCGCGGUAAAACGUAGGAGGCGAGCGUUAUCCGGAUUUACUGGGCGUAAAGCGUGUGCAGGCGGUUUGGUAAGUUGGAUGUGAAAGCUCCUGGCUUAACUGGGAGCGGUCGUUCAAUACUACCAGACUUGAGGAUGGGAGAGGGAGGUGGAAUUCCGGGUGUAGUGGUGAAAUGCGUAGAUAUCCG